UACGUAGGGUGCGAGCGUUAAUCGGAAUUACUGGGCGUAAAGCGUGCGCAGGCGGCUUUGCAAGACAGAUGUGAAAUCCCCGGGCUCAACUUGGGAACUGCACUUGUGACUGCAUAGCUAGAGUACGGUAGAGGGGAGUGGAAUUCCGCGUGUAGCAGUGAAAUGCGUAGAUAUGCGGAGGAACACCGAUGGCGAAGGCAGCUCCCUGGACCUGUACUGACGCUCAUGCACGAAAGCGUGGGGAGCAAACAGG
rnacentral:rRNA from 1 species